AUUUUGAUGUCCAUUAGAAGCAGAGGCAAUAUUUUUAGUUUUAACAAGAAGACUUCACUUCCCACUGAGGGACUGAAUUUCUAGUGUAAGAUGUGCAGCCCUGUUAAGGAGGCUGUGGAUGUUAAUUUGGCAGCUUUACAGUCUCUUUUCUUCAGGGUUUCAUGCUGCUCCUGCUUGCAGAGAUGCCAAUCUUGCCAUGUUGCCUCCAUACUUUCUACUUUCCAGUACCUCAGGGUAUUUGACAACUUCCAAAUUGUUUAGCUGUACCUUCAGAAGGGGAAAGUUUGACACUAAGGGCAUUGUAGUCCUGCCUGACUCUGGCAAGUAGGCACAGGUCCUGAUGGAUAUCAGACAACACUUAUGUAGAGCCACCAUAAGAGACGUAAACUUCUGUCCUGUUUUCCAAUGGCAAGCAAAUUCUAUUCAGAUUCAAAUUCCCUGUACUGGAUUUUAACUUGAAGGCCAAGGCUUUCUUAAAGGAACAAAACAACUUGAAAGGAAUCCUGAGAAUUUAGAUUCUGACUGCAAUUUCACCGUACCACAGAAUCACGGGAUGGGAAAAACUCAUUUCAGAGGACUCUACCAGCUGCCAGAUAAUGAAAUCCAAAUAUCAGAGAAGUUACAGUUUCUUUGCUCCUCCAAGUCAGGUGGGACCAGCCAUUGUACCUUUCUUCUCCAAACGGGUUCAGAAGGGGCUCUGCAUGUGACGAGCUCCAGGACUGAGAAGAUGAAGUUGCCCCUCCUGAGCUUUUUGUGCUUCCUGCAGCUGGCAGCCUGACAGAGAAGAGAGUGGAGAAGGAAGCCUGGAUCCAACACAGAAUGGGGGGAAUGGCAAGUGGGAGUGAGAUGCAGAGUAACAGCCAAGUAAGGGGUGGGACAGAAGAGCAGGUGAAGGCCUGGAAGAAGGAGGAUGAACAGAAAUAGAAAGACAGCUGGAGAAUAAGCCAGAAAUUAGAAGCCCUACAAAAGAUGGUAGAGAGGGUGCAGGAGAGGAAGGAGGAGGCUGAAGAGAAAGGGUUAUAAUUUACCCCCAGGGAAAUUAUGUCCUCUAUAAUUCAAAGCUGCAGCCAAAUUUUGGCAUCCUUUUGCUUCAGGGAAACUGCUGUGAGGAGUGAAGGUACCUGAAUAUACAUGUCCGUGUAAAUUUUCCUUCUUCAUUGUAGUACUGUGUGUAUGUGGAUGCACCUACUGCCUCUAAAGGGGUCUGGAUACUGGGCUCCAUAUGUUCCUUGCCCUUCAAGCACUUGACACUAUAACCCUAAAAUUAAACCUCUUUGAGUACCAAAAGAAAGAGUCCUUGGCUUCCUAUCGGGAAAGACAACAAGGUGUGUCUUUAUUGCAAGCACAAAUGGGACACUAAACAGUUAGACCACAAAUAAAAAUAGAUGUUCAGUACUGUAGAAGGAAGAGAAUGGAGUUGGAACCCUAAUUAACUCCUUCCUUAAGUAUCAGACAGCAAUCAGCACAAAUUAUGGAUUAGGAGCUUUUGGCUCUUGAAAACAUGGAGUCUUUGCUUCCCUGCCUCCUCCUCUCGUCACAGCUGCUGUGAGAAUCCAGCUGAGACCAAGAAUGUUGGGUUUUUUAUAGCACUUGUAAAAAUCAAGUCCACAAUCAAGUAGACAAAGAAAACCAUCAUGAAAGGAAGCAAACAUCCGGCCUCGGUGUGUUUGUGGAGUGCUGGCUGGAAUGGAGCCUCUUCAGCACAGCUGAGAGCCUGCUCAGCAGUCUAAGCUGGCAGCCUUCAACUAGCCCCUAAUGAGCCUCAUCAAACAAACAAACAGAGAAAGAGGCUUCACAGAUUAGUACCAAAGACAAGUGCUGGAUGAUUCUUAUGGUUUUGUGCAGUGCCUACAUCCUUCUUGCCUCUGGAGGUGGGGGGAAUCUGUCCUAACAUCACCUCUCCGAUGCGGGGCAGCUGCUCCAAAUGGGAUAUUCACCCUUCUGGGGCCUGUAAUGCAUAACUGCUGCAUCUGGGGAUGAGCCUCUUGGCUCUUUGGAUAAGAUAAAUCACAGCUUGAGGUGCCUCCACCUCCAGAUGGUAAUGACUUGUCCAAAUUCGUACAGUUGCUGUCUCCUGCUUAUGAGACAGCUUCCCGUUCAGGGGGCCAUUGCCCACCAAGUUGGGCUUCAAGGACACUAUCCCACUUUCUUGUGUUUCCCUGACUUAUUGACGAGCAGCAUUGUUCUGCCUGUCUGCUGGAGGUGUUCUUCUUUCUCCUAAUACAGCAUUCAAGUCAGAAAUAAAAUGUUACCAUUUCACAACACAACUGGGGGUAUCUAUUUCUUACUGAGCACAGGACCGUAUUCCUCAGUAAAAUUUGCAUGUGAUAUAAAAAUAUGGAAGGAACAGUAUAUGCUUCCUUAUGCUAAAGUUUCCUUCCUGUGGCAGGAACUGCAGAAACUGCUUAUUAAACUCCCCCUUUCCCCCCCAAAGAGCUCUAGUUUGUAAUAAGAAUAGAGACUAGAGAAUAAUUCUUACAUAAAGCCAAACUGCACAAUUCCGCCUAAUUAUUUGUCCUUGAAAGGAGACUUUGUAAUCUAUCUUCUGUUGCAUUUUUUUUUCCUAACUGUGAAUCUUUGCACAACUGUCCUCAUGACAAAUAUAAUUUGAUCUGGGGACAGCCCUGUCUGGAGUGUUUGCAUCAAGAGCCUUUUCCAAUAAGCUGCAGCUCCCACCUUAAUGAGAAUAAGAGCCUUAUGACAAAUACAGGGCUUUCAAUAGCAAAUACAGCUUCUGUACAGCACACUCAGGUCUCUCCUCACUGAGGAAUAAACUGACAAAUUUUUCUUCCUUCUAGUUAAAAAAUAGCACAAAUACUUCAGUGUUUGCAUAGAGGAACACAGCUUUGUUUCAGUCUUGAUUCCUCUCUCAGAAAGGAGUGUUGGGAAGGCAUCUAGAGAAGUAUCUACCCCAGCAUCUUGGAAUGGGGAAUGAGAGAGCCCAAAUGGGAUUUUUUAUGUCUGAAACUGAACAAGAAAAUGCAAUUCCAAGAUACUGCUAACGUGCUCCAAACACUUGCAGUCCCUUGGACCAGACUGGACCUGGACUAAGGCAAAACCCUCUGAAACGUGGAAGUUGUGGCAUCCUCAGCACCAACUCUGUCAUUCUAUGGAUCUGCUUCUGUUGGCCUGCACUGCCUGGUUAGGUAGGGCAUAACCCAGGAAUGUAAGGGCAGGGAUGAGGCAGGUGGAGCUGUGAGGUCUCAGGUAGCAUCAAAAGGAGACUUCAUGAGCAGGGUGACGUGGAGAUGUAUCUGCAAGGGAGACUAGCCAGGAAAAAUAACAGGAAUAGGCUGUAGGGUUGGAGGUAUUUGAGCAGCCCAACACUCCAUCUAAAGCUGCAGCCAUGCCAGAUACCAAAAUGAGUCUGGGAGCUGUGGGAGGAGAGGAAAUGUUGACAUGGGACAUGCAGAACUUAGGGAAAUCAGCUCCCUACAGAGAUGGGGCUGCAGCACGUUGGACAUUUGUGGUGAGCACUUUGGACAGAAAAUACAGAACUCACAAAUUGUG
rnacentral:lncRNA from 13 species